UCCACGAAAAAAUGAAACUUUGAUAGCCUGUAGAGUUUCGGGCGCUGAGUCGAAUGGUCUUGGUCCGAAGUCUCUACGACGAAGCGUUCUUGAGAUAUUUCACUUUGAAAUUGCAAAAACGGGGGCCGCGCCCUGACGUCAUGCGGCCAUUUGGUUACAUCAUCACGGGCUGCCUACGUCAUUGUGGCAAAGUCGUUUCUCUUCGCCAGUCUACAAGCACUAAUUUUAGUUGGUAUUUCAAGGGAAGAUGGGCGAUUCCGAACAAUCCUCUGUCCCCAGCAAUGAAGGCAGCGAUGCUGAGGCCAGUGAGGACGACCAACAGCCCACCGCCGCGUAUGGUUGGGGCAGGGAGCCCAGAUACUCUGCUGAGGAGCUGCCAUCGCGUGUAACAAAUGUGGAGGAAGAAGAUGCGUCAGCAGCUGCGUCCGACAGAAGACGAGUAGCUUGGCCACCAGAAUCUCGAUUCGUUUGGGACUCCGACUGGUGCGAGCGUGGACAAAAGUGUAUAGCCAUGCCCAGCCCGCGGGAAUGAUUUUGUUGGUAGGAUGCUGCCGUCGCUGUCGACAAGACGGCCCAAGGUUUCUUGCGUAGCGGACCUCGCAGAUUACGAGAUCGUAUCCUUGCAUUAGGCUGUGCUCAUCACUGCUCUUCGAGGUUAUCUCGACAUGCAGAAGCCGCCAAUGCCAGUGACAGAAGAGUCUGACAUUAGAUCUCUACGCUAUGCGGCACACAGGCAGUACACACUAUGUACACGGCAAAUUGGGCAAGCACGUUCGUUGUCGUCUUCCAGCCUGCGUUGUGAAUACCAUCAGGCAAAGAUAUCCAAAUCCUGCACCACCUCAGCCUUCUCAGGAGGCUUCCACCUGGAAUUUGGCAGGGAAACACGCUUCUCCAAGGCAGGAACAUGAAGGUUGCCAUUUGCAACCGCUACCACCUCACACAUGAGCUUGUCAACAUACUCAUAGCUCUUUCUGUCGUAUAAUUUUCUAUUUGGCCACAGUCUUCUUUAUGCUUUGAGAACUGGACUUUAUACCUUCC